rnacentral:rRNA from 1 species
UCAAGCUACAAAGAGCACAAGGGGAAUGCCUUGGCAUCGGGAGCCGAUGAAGGACGCGACUAACUGCGAUAAGCUACGGGGAGCCGUAAGUAGGCAUUGAUCCGUAGAUUUCCGAAUGGAGCAAUCCGACUAGAGUCAUGUCUAGUCAUCAUAUGCUGAAUAAAAUAGGUAUAUGAGGGGAACCGCCUGAACUGAAACAUCUAAGUAGGGCGAGGAAAAGAAAUCAACCGAGAUUCCGCUAGUAGUGGCGAGCGAACGCGGAAGAGGCCAAACCGAGAGUAGUAAUACUUUCGGGGUUAGGACAGAAAUGUGUACACAGAGGUUUAGCAGAAUUGUAUGGGAAGGCAAACCAAAGAGAGUGAAAGUCUCGUAUGCGAAAAACUGAAGUGGCUAUCUGAAUCCAGAGUACCGCCGGACACGAGGAAUCCGGUGGGAAGACGGGGGGACCAUCCUCCAAGCCUAAAUACUAACCGAUGACCGAUAGAGAAGAGUACCGUGAGGGAAAGGUGAAAAGCACCCCGGGAGGGGAGUGAAAGAGAACCUGAAACCUUGUGCUUACAAGCACCGAGAGCCCGUCAAAGGGUGAUCGGGUACCUAUUGUAGAAUGGUCCGGCGAGUGAAUGUUACUGGCGAGGUUAAGCACUUAAGGUGUGUAGCCAAAGCGAAAGCAAGUCUGAACAGGGCGAUUUUAAGUCAGUAGUAUUCGACCCGAAACCGGGUGACCUACCCAUGUCCAGGUUGAAGUGGAGGUAAAACUCCAUGGAGGACCGAACCGACUCCCGUUGAAAUGGUAGCGGAUGAGGUGUGGGUAGCGGAGAAAUUCCAAUCGAACCCGGAGAUAGCUGGUUCUCUCCGAAAUAGCUUUAGGGCUAGCCUCGGAAUAGAUUACUGGAGGUAAAGCACUGAAUGGGCUAGGGGCCGAGAGGUUACUGAACCCUAUCAAACUAAGAAUGCCAGAUAAUUGUUUUCCGGGAGUCAGACGGCGUGAGAUAAGUUUCGUCGUCAAAAGGGAAAGAGCCCAGACCCACAGCUAAGGUCCCAAAGUAUAGUUAAGUGGAAAAGGAUGUGGGGUUGCCCAGACAACCAGGAUGUUGGCUUAGAAGCAGCCACUCAUUAAAAGAGUGCGUAAUAGCUCACUGGUCGAGUGACCCUGCGCCGAAAAUUCAACGGGGCUAAAUUAUACACCGAAGCUUGGGAUACCGCAAGGUAUGGUAGGAGAGCGUUCUGUAAGGAGUGAAGUGAGAGCGAAAGCGUUCGUGGACUUUACAGAAGUGAGAAUGCCGGAAUGAGUAGCGAGAAAUAUGUGAGAAUCAUAUUGGCCGAAAGUCUAAGGUUUUUGGAGGAAGGUUCGUCCGCUCCAAGUAAGUCGGGAGCUAAGGUGAGGCCUAACGGCGUAGCCGAUGCACAUACGGUAGAUAUUCCGUAACCACCGAAAGAUUUAAACACAGGGACACCUUGAAAGGGCAUAUCCCGGGAGUUGGUUUACCCGGGCGUAAGGGAUCGAAAUUUGAGUAGAGAAGUAUGUUUGGACGAGGGCGAGAAAAGCUGUGCGUAUAUUUUAGGUGCCCGUACCGCAAACCGACACAGGUGGACAGGAAGAGGAUUCUAAGGCCAACGGGAGAAGGGUAAUUAAGGAACUCGGCAAAUUGACCCCGUAACUUAGGGAUAAGGGGUGCUCAUAGGAAUAUGAGCCGCAGAGAAUAGGCCCAGGCAACUGUUUAUCAAAAACACAGGUCUCUGCCAAAUCGAAAGAUGAAGUAUAGGGGCUGACACCUGCCCGGUGCUGGAAGGUUAAGAGGAGGAGUGAGAGCUCCGAAUUGAAGCCCCAGUAAACGGCGGCCGUAACUAUAACGGUCCUAAGGUAGCGAAAUUCCUUGUCGGGUAAGUUCCGACCCGCACGAAUGGUGUAAUGAUCUGGGCACUGUCUCAAUUACCCGCCCGGCGAAAUUGUAGUACCGGUGAAGAUGCCGGUUACCCGCGACAAGACGGAAAGACCCCAUGGAGCUUUACUGCAGCUUGAUAUUGGGUUUCGGUAAUCUAUGUACAGGAUAGGCGGGAGACUAGGAAGUAAAGGCGCCAGCUUUUACGGAGUCGCCCUUGGGAUACCGCUCUUAGAUUGCUGGAAUUCUAACCUGCGGCCAUGAAACUGGUCGGGGAACAUUGUCAGGCGGGCAGUUUGACUGGGGCGGUCGCCUCCUAAAGAGUAACGGAGGCGCUCAAAGGUUGGCUCAGCACGGACGGAAA